AGUGAACGCUGGCGGUAGGCCUAACACAUGCAAGUCGAACGGCAGCACAGUAAAAGCUUGCUCUUACGGGUGGCGAGUGGCGGACGGGUGAGGAAUACAUCGGAAUCUACUUUUUCGUGGGGGAUAACGUAGGGAAACUUACGCUAAUACCGCAUACGACCUACGGGUGAAAGCAGGGGAUCUUCGGACCUUGCGCGAUUGAAUGAGCCGAUGUCGGAUUAGCUAGUUGGCGGGGCAAAGGCCCACCAAGGCGACGAUCCGUAGCUGGUCUGAGAGGAUGAUCAGCCACACUGGAACUGAGACACGGUCCAGACUCCUACGGGAGGCAGCAGUGGGGAAUAUUGGACAAUGGGCGCAAGCCUGAUCCAGCCAUACCGCGUGGGUGAAGAAGGCCUUCGGGUUGUAAAGCCCUUUUGUUGGGAAAGAAAAGCAGCAGGUUAAUACCCCGCUGUUCUGACGGUACCCAAAGAAUAAGCACCGGCUAACUUCGUG
rnacentral:rRNA from 1 species